AUUGAACGCUGGCGGCAGGCCUAACACAUGCAAGUCGAACGAGCGGCGGACGGGUGCGGAAUGCCUGGGAAUUGCCCAGUCGCGGGGGAUCACAGUUGGAAACGACUGCUAAUAACGAAUACGGUUGUCUUGCCAGGGUGGGAUUAGCUAGUUGGGGAGGUAAUGGCUCACACAGGCGACGAUCCCUAGCUUGUCUGAGAGGGUGUGCAGCCACACUUGAACUGAGACACGGUCCAGACGCCUACGGAAGGCAGCAUGGGGGAAUAUUGGACAAUGGGGGAAACUCUGAUGAAGCCAUGCCGCGGUUGUGAAGAAGGCCUUCGGGUUGUAAAGCACUUUCGGCGGGGAGGCGUUACUCGCAGAAGAAGCACCGGCUAACUCCGUGCCAGCCGCCGCGGUAAUUC
rnacentral:rRNA from 1 species